rnacentral:lncRNA from 1 species
GUUUAGCCAAAAUGUCUUCCCACCAGCAGAAGCAGCAGCAGCAAUGCCAGCCUCCAAAAGGACAAGCCAAGUGUCCUGUGAAGAGCAUCCCACAGCAGCAGCAGCAGCAGCAAUGCCCAAAGCAGAAGUAGCACUAACAGCAGUGGUUGCAAAGUGCUGUGGAAGAGGCAGAAAUCAUGUUACAAAGAGAUGCAAUUCAUUAUCUUGGAUUUAUUCAUCUUCUACUAUAAAAAUGUCACGGGGGCAUUUCCUUCUGAUCUUUAAUUCGGGACAUGCUGCAAUAAAAUUGUAAUUGACCUCAUUAUUUGCUGCCUGAUAUUUUUGUGCUUUACUUGUGUCAUUCAUUCUCUUUCGAUUUCUUUUAGUAGUCAAAGAAUCACCUUUAAGCAUGCACAUACAUAUAGGUAGGGCUUACAUACACUUGGGCCCAUGUACAUUUGCCUUCCAGAUUUCCCACGGAGGAAAUUACAUUCUCAGGCAUUGAAUAUUUAUGUAGGGAUUAUCAAAUCUUGCAAGUGUUUUUCACCCUGAACUGGAGCAAACUAAGGAAACUUGGUGUUCUGCAAGGUAUAACAUUCCGAAGUACGUUCCUGUGGAAUCUAUCAAAGCAAUUAAUUGUGAAUCUGAGUCCCAGAUAUACUAUAACUGCUGAGAGAAAAACAGCCUUUGGAAGUUCUUAACACUGAAAGGAAGCUUUCGCUUGCUUAGAAAGAAUAUUUUUAGUUCUAAAAGAAUCAGAAAUGGGAUUUUGAAUGUUGCCUUUUCUCAGCAGGAAAUACUGGCUCAGCUAAUUGAUUUCCAGCCAGCUGUAUGGCAAGGCAGAGGAGGAAAAUUAUCAUAAAGGCAGAAGCUGUUGAAUGCUAUGAUAGUGGUGUCUUGCAGACAGACACAAAUCUGCUCUGCAAACCAGAAGCUGUGUGUCUCAGAGUGAUUCUGUGAUCAGACGAUGAGGUUGGCUGUAUCUAACCCAUCUAGCAAGUACAGGGCCAAACUAGCGAGACCACAUUGCUCCUGGCUCAUCUGAAGUGUGGGAAAAGCUUGUCUGCCUGUGCUUGCAACCCUCCUGAUAGGUACACCCAUGCCUUCUGCCUGCUGGAGGUCACGGGGUGGCUGUGAAUGUGUUUAAGUUGGGCAGACUGAGCACUGGGAUAGCUGGGCAUAAGCUGAUGCCCUGUGUCCUGCUUUGGGAUGGGGUGUCUUGCAGAGAGCUGUGUCAGUGCUAUUAAUUAGUGUUUCUGUACAAUAAGCCAUCCCCAUGCUGGUACAGCCCAGGGGCUCUUGCAGGUGCCUGGAGGAGAGGAACAGAAGAUCCAGGGUUCUCUGCAAGCACCCAAGUUUCUGAGUUCCAAUUUGCCUGGUUUUCAGCCUAAAAAGUGAGCGAUUUGCAAGCUGAGACUCCUUGUCCUCUUCAUAAGCAGAAGAUAUUAAAAGUCUCCACAAUUCAGUAUUCAAAGUCAUUUUUAUUGUUGAUUUUCACAGUGAAAUAAACCUGGAUACAAUAUCA